GCUCUAUUCGUCUAGUCGGUAGGACAGCGGGUUUUCAGUCCGUCAAGAGGGGUUCGAGCCCCCUAUAGAGCACCA
rnacentral:tRNA from 1 species